UACGGGGGGGGGCAAGCGUUGUUCGGAAUUACUGGGCGUAAAGGGCUCGUAGGCGGCCAACUAAGUCAGACGUGAAAUCCCUCGGCUUAACCGGGGGAACUGCGUCUGAUACUGGAUGGCUUGAGUUUGGGGAGAGGGAUGCGGAAUUCCAGGUGUAGCGGUGAAAUGCGUAGAUAUCUGGAGGAACACCGGUGGCGAAGGCGGCAUCCUGGACCAACACUGACGCUGAGUGAGCGAAAGCCAGGGGGAGCAAACGGGG
rnacentral:rRNA from 1 species